rnacentral:rRNA from 1 species
AUUGAACGCUGGCGGCAGGCCUAACACAUGCCAGUCGAGCGGAUGAAGGGAGCUUGCUCCUGGAUUCAGCGGCGGACGGGUGAGUAAUGCCUAGGAAUCUGCCUGGUAGUGGGGGAUAACGUCCGGAAACGGGCGCUAAUACCGCAUACGUCCUGAGGGAGAAAGUGGGGGAUCUUCGGACCUCACGCUAUCAGAUGAGCCUAGGUCGGAUUAGCUAGUUGGUGGGGUAAAGGCCUACCAAGGCUACGAUCCGUAACUGGUCUGAGAGGAUGAUCAGUCACACUGGCACUGAGACACGGUCCAGACUCCGACGGGAGGCAGCAGUGGGGAAUAUUGGACAAUGGGGCAAAGCCUGAUCCAGCCAUGCCGCGUGUGGGAAGAAGGUCUUCGGAUUGUAAAGCACUUUAAGUUGGGAGGAAGGGCAGUAAGUUAAUACCUUGCUGUUUUGACGUUACCAACAGAAUAAGCACCGGCUAACUUCGUG